ACCGGCCGGGUGUAACGCACC
rnacentral:misc_RNA from 1 species